AAUAGCAUAAUAUUAUCAAUAGAAAAAUAUUUGAUUACUUCGGGUUCCCUAACCGAACUGGAACGGGUGUGACUGCGCCCUCUAAUACCUUUUAGUUACUGAACUGGCCAUAUUUCAAGAGUAUUUUUGCGCUGUGCCGUAUAAGGUAAUUUUGUAUACUGCGACGAAAAUAAUUAGAAAUCGGAACGCUAAUAAGAAUGUGAUCAAAGUAGUUGAUUAGAGCAAAGCCAAUUUCUGAUAAUAUAAUAUCAUG